UUGGUUAUGCUAGAAAGAGCGCAGGGUGGAUGCUUGGCACUAAGAGCCGAUGAAGGACGUGAUAAGCUGCGAAAAGCUUCGGGGAGGAGCAAAUAUCCAA
rnacentral:rRNA from 1 species